rnacentral:rRNA from 1 species
GACGAACGCUGGCGGCGUGCUUAACACAUGCAAGUCGAACGGAAAGGCCCUGCUUUUGUGGGGUGCUCGAGUGGCGAACGGGUGAGUAACACGUGAGUAACCUGCCCUUGACUUUGGGAUAACUUCAGGAAACUGGGGCUAAUACCGGAUAGGAGCUCCUGCUGCAUGGUGGGGGUUGGAAAGUUUCGGCGGUUGGGGAUGGACUCGCGGCUUAUCAGCUUGUUGGUGGGGUAGUGGCUUACCAAGGCUUUGACGGGUAGCCGGCCUGAGAGGGUGACCGGCCACAUUGGGACUGAGAUACGGCCCAGACUCCUACGGGAGGCAGCAGUGGGGAAUAUUGCACAAUGGGCGGAAGCCUGAUGCAGCGACGCCGCGUGCGGGAUGACGGCCUUCGGGUUGUAAACCGCUUUCGCCUGUGACGAAGCGGGAGUGACGGUAAUGGGUAAAGAAGCACCGGCUAACUACGUG